CCUACGGGAGGCAGCAGUGGGGAAUAUUGCACAAUGGGGGAAACCCUGAUGCAGCGACGCCGCGUGGGUGACGAAGUAUUUCGGUAUGUAAAGCCCUAUCAGCAGGGAAGAAGAUGACAGUACCUGACUAAGAAGCCCCGGCUAACUACGUGCCAGCAGCCGCGGUAAUACGUAGGGGGCAAGCGUUAUCCGGAUUUACUGGGGGUAAAGGGAGCGUAGGCGGUAUGGCAAGCCAGAAGUGAAAACCCGGGGCUUAACCCCGGGGAUUGCUUUUGAAACUGUCAGGCUAGAGUGCAGGAGAGGCAGGCGGAAUUCCUGGUGUAGCGGGGAAAUGCGUAGAUAUCAGGAGGAACACCGGUGGCGAAGGCGGCCUGCUGGACUGUAACUGACGCUGAGGCUCGAAAGCGUGGGGAGCAAACAGGAUUAGAUACCCCAGUAGUC
rnacentral:rRNA from 1 species